rnacentral:rRNA from 1 species
AAAUUUUAAUGUAAAUUUAAAUAUUAAUCUGUAGAGGUACAGCUCUACAGAACAAGACUACAACCUUAAUUAGAGAGUAAAUUUUAUAACAACCAUAGUUGGCUUAAAAGCAGCCACCAAUUAAGAAAGCGUUCAAGCUCGACAAUUAAAUUAAUACUUAAUUCAAAAAAUUAUAUUAGCCCCUAAUUUGAUUACUGGAUUAUUCUACUAAAUGUAGAAGAAAUACUGUUAAUAUGAGUAAUAAGAUCUUAGAUCUCCAAACACACGUGUAUAUCAGCCCGAAUACCUACUGAUAUUUAACAAUUAAAUAAAUCUAUACACAAAUAAAUGAUUUUUUAUUAUAUUGUUAACCCAACACCGGAGUGUAUAUUAAGGAAAGAUUAAAAAAAGUAAAAGGAACUCGGCAAACAUUAACCCCGCCUGUUUACCAAAAACAUCACCUCUAGCAUUAUCAGUAUUAGAGGCACUGCCUGCCCAGUGACAUUAGUUAAACGGCCGCGGUAUCCUGACCGUGCAAAGGUAGCAUAAUCAUUUGUUCCUUAAUUAGGGACUUGUAUGAAUGGCCUCACGAGGGUUUAACUGUCUCUUACUUUUAAUCAGUGAAAUUGACCUUCCCGUGAAGAGGCGGGAAUACUAAAAUAAGACGAGAAGACCCUAUGGAGCUUAAAUUAAAUUAUCCAACAAACCUAACUUAAAUCCAACAGGAAUAAUUAAAUUUUAACUGGAUAAUAAAUUUUGGUUGGGGUGACCUCGGAGCAUAACUUAACCUCCGAGCAGUUAAAACUCAGACUUACCCGUCAAAGUGGAACUAUUAAUUGAUCCAAUCUUAUUGAUCAACGGAACAAGUUACCCUAGGGAUAACAGCGCAAUCCUAUUUGAGAGUCCAUAUCGACAAUAGGGUUUACGACCUCGAUGUUGGAUCAGGACAUCCUAAUGGUGCAGCAGCUAUUAAAGGUUCGUUU